UAUAUAUAUAUCUAUAUAUAUAUAAAAUCAGAAUUGGGCACACCUCAAAGUUUCAAAACUUAGCAAUAAUCCAUUCAUUUUAAUGAACCAAACAUAAAUCACUAUUAGACACAAAUAUCAACAUUGAUUUCCAAAGGACAAAACAUAACACAUAGAACAUCAUAAAGUAAAAUAAAAUUAACACAAGAAUUUAAGAAGACUUGAAGUUUUAAGGAAAACAUUAGCAUGGGUUAUAAGGUGCCAACACUUAUGAUGUAUAUGUAUAACGAAAGACUAAUAUAAUGAAUCCCUUUUUUAAAAAAAUAACAAGAAAUGUGAUACGAAUCCACCUUUGAAGACAUUUUAGACAAAGAAAAAGUUAAAGGGAAAAUAGAGAGUCCGGAACUGCAAAUGGAAAACGUCAACCAAACAUUAUACCGAUCCUAUAUGAACACAAAGUUGACAUUGCUUCUACGUAUCUGGAAGGUCAUGCACCCUCUCUCUUCUCUUUGAUUAAACGUGAAGAGACAUUGCUCUAUUGGUAAGAACUUGUUAAAGCAUUGCAAAAACAAUUAUGGGCCUGCAGUAUGGGCGGACCUAGGUACACUCCAGGGGAUUCACUCGUCAAAAAACUACACUUUAUAUAUAACGUCAAAUUCUGACUUUAUGGAUAUAUAUUAAAAUGAACCCCCUCAAAACAAACUACAUGCUUGGCUCAAUCGAUACGUGUUUCAAGAUCUGCCCAUAGGUCACCGGUUCAAAUCCUUUGGGCAACAUUUUUCCCCUAUUUUUUAAUGCUUUGGAAAAUGGAACUUUUGGAAUUAGACCUUCUUCAUCUUUUUCA